UACGGAGGGGGCUAGCGUUGUUCGGAAUUACUGGGCGUAAAGCGCACGUAGGCGGCUUUGUAAGUUAGAGGUGAAAGCCCGGGGCUCAACUCCGGAAUUGCCUUUAAGACUGCAUCGCUAGAAUUGUGGAGAGGUAAGUGGAAUUCCGAGUGUAGAGGUGAAAUUCGUAGAUAGUUCGGACGGAACACCAGUGGCGAAGGCGACUCACUGGCCCGAUACUGACGCUGACGGCGCGAAAGCGUGGGGAGCAAACAGG
rnacentral:rRNA from 1 species